CAGAAGCCAAGGGGGAAAGGAGCCCUUGUAGAGGAAGUGCAGGGAAGAGGCCUGACUAGUUUUGUAGCUGACAAGAUGCUGGCCCAAAUUCUGCCUACUGGAACCUUACAAGAUUUCAAAAGCAGAAGACUUAUGACAAGCUCUUUCCAUACCACAUUUUCCAAUGAGACUUCGAUGAGGGCGGUACAAUCACUUGCACACUAUUAUUUAUACAUGCAAGAAUUCAUAUAGACAGAGUAAAUUAGCAUCCCUAAAUCUAUUGCUGGUUUUAUGUGCAUAAAUUCUCUUAUGUGUGUGCAACUAAUGGUGCACAAUAACUGCAUGAAAGGAUUUGUAUGUUCAAGAUGGCAAACAACUAAUUUGAGUCCAGAUGGAAGACACCAUGGAGAAUUUGACCUUAUAGGUGUUUUUAGGACUUUAUAACUGAGUGACUGAAGAUUGUUAUGAUAACUUUAUGAGUGUAUUUUUAUUUCAUGUACUAGAUGAAAGACUGUAACACAUAAAACAAUAACCAAAAUCAGUCUAAAAAUCUGAAAUAUGAAUAAACAAUAUAAAGGAA